GGUCAACACAGAGAAAGGCCUACACUGGCUUCAGACAGAAAAGCGCUUUCAGGUUGUCCUCAGCUAUGAGGUGGACCAAGUAUUGGAAGGGACUUCCUUCACAUUUGUGUUGAUGAAGAAGCUGAACCUCAGCGAGAUUUCUCGAUGGUCAAUAGACUGCCUGUCUUCAGGUCCUGCCUGUACGUCCUGGGUACACAUCCUGGGUGCAUGCCCUCCGAGCUCUGUCACCUUGGGGAGAGUGAGUGGCCCAUUCCCUAUCUGCCUCCAUCACAAGGGCACCUGCCUCGGCCCAUGGGAUGUCCGCAAAGGCCUUUCAUCCCAGGCACAGAAUGGAAACAUCCUCCAGGACCGUCAACCCUGCAGCCUGGCGCCAGGUAGCACUUUGUCAACUGUCU